rnacentral:rRNA from 1 species
UUGACCUCGGAUCAGGUAGGGAYACCCGCUGAACUUAAGC